GCCUGACGCAGCAACGCCGCGUGCGGGAUGACGGCUUCGGGUUGUAAACCGCUUUCAGCAGGGACGAAAAUGACGGUACCUGCAGAAGAAGCUCCGGCUAACUACGUGCCAGCAGCCGCGGUAAUACGUAGGGAGCAAGCGUUGUCCGGAUUUAUUGGGCGUAAAGAGCUCGUAGGCGGUUCCGUAAGUCGAGUGUGAAAAAUCUGGGCUCAACCCAGUGGAGCACUCGAUACUGCGGUGACUAGAGUCCGGUAGGGGAGUGUGGAAUUCCUGGUGUAGCGGUGAAAUGCGCAGAUAUCAGGAGGAACACCGACGGCGAAGGCAGCACUCUGGGCCGGUACUGACGCUGAGGAGCGAAAGCGUGGGGAGCAAACAGGAUUAGAUACCCUGGUAGUCCACGCCGUAAACGUUGGGCACUAGGUGUGGGAGGGAGUCAACCCCUUCCGUGCCGUAGCUAACGCAUUAAGUGCCCCGCCUGGGGAGUACGGCCGCAAGGCUAAAACUCAAAGGAAUUGACGGGG
rnacentral:rRNA from 1 species